rnacentral:rRNA from 1 species
CAGUAGCCGCGGGAAUACAGAGGGUGCGAGCGUUAAUCGGAAUUACUGGGCGUAAAGCGAGUGUAGGUGGCUCAUUAAGUCACAUGUGAAAUCCCCGGGCUUAACCUGGGAACUGCAUGUGAUACUGGUGGUGCUAGAAUAUGUGAGAGGGAAGUAGAAUUCCAGGUGUAGCGGUGAAAUGCGUAGAGAUCUGGAGGAAUACCGAUGGCGAAGGCAGCUUCCUGGCAUAAUAUUGACACUGAGAUUCGAAAGCGUGGGUAGCAAACAGGAUUAGAUACCCCGGUAGUCCCUGUCUCUUAUA